CUGUAGUUGCCGCUGGUGCCCACACCCGGCUCCCGGGAGCGGGAAGCGAGGGUGGCACGGCUGUGAUCCGUGUGGAGAGAGGGCGCAGCGGUGUUUGCACAGCGCGGACGGAAGCGCCCGUGCUGGCCCGAGGCGCUGGGCAGCAAUGACGAGGUAUAACCUGCCUCAGGUGAAAGCCCUGACUCUAAGCCUCCCCCUGACCCCAAAUGAGUGGUGAGGUGUCCUGGAGAUCAGAUGAGGAGAUACGAGGAGCCGGAAAGCAUUUCUGAGCAUUCAAGUGUUGAAAUCAUGUUACUGCUCCCUGAGCUCAGCUGACACAGGAGACAGGUAUGGAAGGUUUGGUGAUAAGCAGUCUGAACUGUAGCAUACAACCUGCUGUGGAUAGAGCAAAGCAAGCCUGGCCUGGAAAAGCAUCAGAGGCUCCAUGUACAGUAAUUCACCUACAGGUGUCCGUGUGUGGCUGUG